rnacentral:lncRNA from 1 species
CUGGCUCUACCUUAGAAACUGGCCUUAUUCUAUAGAGGACAUUGAAUGAUAACACUGCAAGUCAGCUGACUGCUGUGUCACAGAGCUGCUGCUUUCUACAUUAUCGCAACUGCCAGAGCUCUUAGUGCUGCAGUUUUCUAGUCGCAGUGCGGCAAAGCAGACGCAUAGACCCAGGCACAAAGCAGCAUAGAUUUUUUAUUCUCAUCUUUUUUUUUUUUUGUCCGAGAGACGUUUUCCUGGUGUUAGCGCAGAAGCAGACAUGCAGCCUGGAUAUGCUGGCUCCAGCCUGGCAGCUCUUUCGGCUGAGCAGGGACUGUGUGGAGCUCGGUGCCCACGCUGCCGCUGAGGAAGAAAGCUGCUCUCCCACUCUGUGCCGUGACGAUACACCUGCAGCCACAAGACCGUGGAGAUGGCGGCACUUGUCUCUGUUUGCCUGACUGGGGCCUUUGCAGGUGCUCCUCUUCCGAAGCUGUGCUGGCGUUCCAGGGCCGUGCAGAUGGGUAAUACAAUUUGCUGCAGUUUCUUACAUCAGUGUAGCAAAGCUCAAGCGAACAACCAGACUCUGACCUAAAUCAGUCCCAGUUCUUCGGGAUACAGGGCAGCAGGCGACUGGCAGUGAUACAAUCAGCCAUCAAGUGGAGAGGCUCUGGGACUGCAAUCUGUAUGGGUUGGAGUCUGUGAGAAUGAAACAGUUCCCGUUAUCCGGUCGCUUCUCCUUCUAAUAAUACAAUUGCUACAACUGCUACUACUACCGCAUCUGUUUCUCCAUGCCUGAAAGAAGCUGCUCCUUGCGCCCUCUCUGUGUGGGUAUUUGCGCAGAUUAGUCUGUUGGUAAUGCAGCCCUUAUCUGCUUCUGCUGGAAACCAGGGCACGAAGUCAGCCUGCCUUAACAGUUGUUUCUUUCUGCGUGAUGCUAUGCAGCUAGAAUGGGUUACGCUGACAACAAAGGAGCCAGCACAAAGCAUCACUUUAUUUGCUGGACUGCUACAGGAACCCGACUCUUCUUCGCUACGAAGCCCUGUUCUCUUCCCUUUUUGUUUUUUGUUUUUUGUUUUUUUUAUGUAAUUCAUCUAAUUGAAGAGCCUAACAGACACCAUCGUGGAUGUGGGUUUUAAUGAUUUGGAAAAGACAGCCUGUGGAGACUGCGAUUGGAGACUGCAACACGCUUAGGUUAUUGCCAAUUUGAAAUACUUGGUUUGUGAAGCACAGCCCUAAGGGACAAGCGCAGUAACUGAGAGAGAGAUCGUAGAUAAAGAAAUAAAAAUGACAAGCAUAAUGGAGGCUCUGCAAGAAACUGUCAGGGAAUCAGUUCAUGGAUGGCAAUUUCACCAGUCUGAAUCUGAAUAAUUCAUAGAUUGAAAUUACCCUGCUUUCACCUUUCCAUUUAAACUGGCAUGAUCUGAAUCUCUAAUAAAUUUUCAAGAUAAAGUAAAAUGCCAAUUUGAAUCUGAAGAGCUUUUAAAACCAAAUGCUACACCCUGAGUCUUUCGAUACCUUUCACAAUUAUCCUGUGAGAGCCGCACUUCAUCACGAAGCACCAUUACCAGUGAAAAUUACGGUGAUUACAAUAGCAACAAUAGAAUACCGUCAAAUGAUCUCCAAUUUACCUAAUUUACCAAGGUUGACUGUGUGCCCAUUGUGCUUCACUACGUCUGGCAUUGGAUCAAUAUCACAGAGGAAGAAAAAUGCCUUAGUAUAUGCUUCCUUUUGGUGCCUUUAACUUUGACAGCACAGGAAAAUCUAUCUCCUGUUAAAUGUUUUUACAGCCCAUCUGCAUGCCUGCCAUAGGAUCUGAUUGAUUCUCCAUCAUUUUCUUUGGUUGCUGAGUAUUGGAUGUUAUUGUGUUACUAAUUUGUUUAUAACGUGUACUCCUGCACAAAGACUGCAGCAAACGAGUAACAGCACAGCAACUGCGCUGCUGCAGCAGUAGCACUGCACUCUCUCGCAGGGGAAGCCAAAAUGAGUUUGGUGCCUUAUGUGAAUAAUCACUUGCAUCUGGGUUAUAAAUGCUUCCAAACAUCACUCAUCUUGGUUGCACGACAUGAGAAAUGUGUGCAAAAGUCGUGGUCAAGGGAAAUGGUUAUCUGUAAUCCUAACAAGAUUUCCCCCCUAUCCAGCAAUCAGUAUGAGGCUGUGAGAGAUAAGCUGUGACUCUUUCUUUAAAUGUGUGUGUGUACAUACGCAUGCACGUACAUAGGAGGUAAGGAUAGUAUGCGUUGUGAUUACGUGCUGAUCAGUGAAAGCCACAUUUCUCUGACAAGCCAGGCACAGUGUUUUGCCACAAUCUGCUCAGUUGUAACAAAUCCCGGUUUUGGAGUUUAUAUUUUCUAUAGGACAAUACGUGACUUCUGGAACAGUAAGUACCAUUUAUCCAGCAUGCCGGUGCCUGUAGCAAUGCCAUGGAAUGGUAUUUUAAGCAUAGUUUGACUACAGUGUGGAUAAGUAAGAAACAUGCACAUAAGGCUACAACAGGCAUUCCUCCUGGAGAAGACUGUGUCCGUUGUCUGUAUGUGUGUGAGUUGUCCACAUCAAUCUUGUUUCUUCUUUUAUGACCAGAUUUACUCUGCCCCCAUGAAGUAUUUGCUAAGGAAGACAAUCCCUGUGGAGCUGAUAGCUGUGGACUAAUGACUGGUAUACCAAGCAGAUAAGCUGUGGACAUUUUUCAGUGUUAACAUAAUGACUUUCAUCAAAGGAGGAAGAAGUCUACUUAUUUUUCAUUUUGUUAAGGUGAAAUCCUCAUAUUGUAUGGAUUGCUCAGACUUCACCAAAUUCCAUAGAACUACGACAAGUAACAGCAGUUGAUGAUCUACCCAACAUGUGUACCAUGUUGGCCAACACAGCAAAAAUGUAAAUUCUGCCUUGAGGAAAUCACCUUUUUCAAUGAGCUCAUGGAUUGGAUAGCAGUACACGCCCUUUGUCUUUCUUGGGCCUGGGGCAACCCAAAGCCUCUCUGAAUCUGAGUCAGGCAAAGAGGAGUUGUCCCACUGCUGGCACCUGCAAGUGAACGUUGUAAAGUUCAGUUGUCAACUCUUUCUUUAAUGAAAUUCUGAAAGCGUUAUUUACAGUUAAACCCAGUAUUUUCUAAAUUGAGUGUCACCUCUAAUUCUCUAAGGUGACAACAAAGAUAUGAGUGAGCUGCUGUCUGGUGACUUUCCUUUUCCAGGGCCUUCAGAUGUUCUUCUACCUGACAAACAGCUCCAGUGACAUGAUGUUUUCAGGAGGUUCAUCAUUGGCUUCAGUGUACCCAGAUCUCAGAUUCAACUUCUGCUGUCAGAAAUUCUCACAGCGCUCUUUUCCAAGAAGGACAGAAAUCUUCUGUUUCCUUUUUCCCAUAUUCUCAACAAAACAUCCCUAAUCACACCUUCUUUUUCUACAUAUUUUCCCAGUAGAAGCUUGAGACUUGAUAUCUCACCUCCAACUGUCCGCUUUCAGUCACUACAACUUCUAGGUCAUGUAACUAAAUUAAAAAAAUAAACUUAUAAUGAAUAAGAAAAGAUUUCUUUGAAAUAAAAUGUAGUAACAUACAAAUAAUUUUUUGCAUUUUCAACCACUGAAGCAGAACAGUAGUCAUUUAGUGUAUAUCAUAACUUGAGGUAAACCAGUAUUUUUUCAGGACAUAGAAUGAGAGAGAACUUUUCUGUCGCUCCCUAAUGAACUGAAGUCAACAUGCUAGUUUUCUUUCUGUGUUAUCUUGAAAUAAAACAACUGCAUAAUAACAGAAGGUUUAUUUUCAUUAUCAUAUGAAAGAGAGACACAAACAUGUAAAAUUUUUCCAUUUUUAAAAAGGAUUAAUUUGUAAAUAUCAAUCUAUAACAUAUAAAAUAAAUAACCCUGCUUGAAAGAAUAGAAAAAGUUUUGUAUUUGUUUAGUCAUUGAGUAGAGAAUCAUGAACAUUUGCAUAAACAGUAGAUUCAGAUUAUCCUUCACCAUUAUUCUUUACUUGCUGGAAUGGAUACCUGGUAAUAAUCAAUCAUACCAGAACUAUAGCUGAUAAUGGAUGAUUAAGGCUAGGGAACAGAUGUAAAGGGAAAGUAGAACUUUUUUUUUUUUUUUCCUGAGGUUCUUACGUGGUUCUGCUUUAUUCCCUUCUACCAAGCUCAACCAAGUUCUGUGUAACAUAAGGGACUAAAUUAGGACUGGAUUUGGACUGUUUCCCAUCUUGUGAAAACAUCCCUUUCUUGAACUGAGAGAAAAAAGAUAUUACAAAUUAAGACCUUGAUAAAGUUUUGGAACUAAAAAUAAUGAUAAUGUCAAAAGAGUCAAUGGCAAUAUUUCUCUUAGGUUAUCUAAGAAUAUUUGGAUUGUACUAGAACUAGUGUAUAUUUUGUAACUAAAAGCCAUUUUUGAGAGAACAAAACCUUUGAAGUGUUAAAAAUGUGUUUUUAUCAAAUUCAGUUUUUCAGUGUUUUGAAAUCUUAUUUGAUCCACUUCCUACCAUGUUUUGGCUUAGACAAAUAGGUGUGUUUUUGGAUGAAAAUCAUUUCAUCUAAAAGUUCCAAGCUACUUUUGCUGUUCACAAUAAACCAUAGAAAUAUCACAGGAAACUUCUGGUAUAUACAGCGUCUUAAUCAGCUGGAAUUUGAAUAAUAUGCAGACACAUAUCUAACUCAUUCCCAAAUGACUAGGAAAUCUGUGUCACAUAUGCUUUUCAAAAAGGGAGUUCUCAAAAAAUUUAAUUAAACAAGAGAAUGAAACACAGCUUGUUCAGUUUGAGGUUGUUCUUUUUUUCUUUCUUUCUUUUCUUUCUUUUUUUUUUCUUUCUUUCUUUUUUUUUUUUUUUUUUUGGUAUUUAUUUAAAAUCAUCAUUCCAAUCACUCCAUUUUGUUUCCCAAUGUAUAUAUCUGUUUAAACCCUAUAAGUUCCUUAAAUAAAUUUGAGUUUUCUUAUGUUGGCAUCCCAAGAAUUCAGAUCACUGAGAAAUCUACCUGAGAACUCAAAAGAUGAUUAAGACCAUAGUGGGCAAACACACGUGCUUGACUACACAGGUAUUAGCAUGCAGUCAUCUACAGCACAAAUGUAUGCUUCUAUACCAGUUUCAGGCUCCUAGUUUUCUUUUUUGACCCAGUGGAAGAGCAGAGCUUUACAAAGCAAAUCCUGAAUUUUCACAGGUAAUUUUUCACAGGCCUCCAGGCCUCUUAUAAAAAGCUUAUAGGUUCCCCGUGGGCUCCUUGUGGAAAGCAACAGCAAGCACCAAUGAGCCAAAAUUAUUCCCACCAUUGAAACUCUUUAUAGUGCACAAAGACUAUAAGGUACCUUUGUGCCACAUCUCUUUCAAAUCCAAUUUCUGUUUAAAAAUACAAGCCUGCUUUUGUAAGUGGUUUGUCCAAGGAACAGUGGGAAAUCUUUGCAUUAUCACUAACUGAUUGAUUAUAAAGUCUGAUAGUCCUGUGUUUUCUGAUUCUAAUUAAAGGGAUAUUAUUCAAAUAGAUUACAAAACUUUCCUCCUGGUCAAUAAAGAAUUUUGCUUGUGGCUCUAGACAGAAACAUUAAUGCAUUUCUUGUGCAUAACAAAGUGCUCAUGGCACCAGCAGAGACUUUGACUUCAUACAUAAACACUAUUAACACUUCUUAGUUGCCUUUUAAGGUGGUAGAGCAUGAGGGGCUCUGCCAGAGAGGCUUUAUAAGCUUUAUCAAACCCUACAGUGGCAGUUCAGGGGAUUACCAGCCACAGCUGUCUGCUUUCUGAAGGCAGAAUGCCAGCCCUCAGCUGCUCACUUUGCUGUCCUGACUGUACUGCAGGUGUGAAUACAUUUUGGUCUCCUUAUGAUAUCUGCACACAAAAAAACAAGAGGAAAAAUCAGUGCAUGGAAAAGACAGUCUCCCUCUUCUUGAUCUCUCAGGGUACAGACAGUUACAGUCUAACAAAUCUAUUGGCAAUCAUCUCUGUAUUGACAGAGUUCAGGCUAAGAAUAACUGGAACUUUCUUUGGUUGUUUUUUGUUGUUGUUGUUGUUGUUUGUUUGUUUUUGUUUUUUUUCUUUUUCUUCUUUUCCUUUUUGAGAGGGUGGGGAAUAUCUGAUCCAGUUGUCACACAGACCCAUAAACAAUGUUACAAGGUCAACUGAAAGACAGCAUAGGCUGGGAAUGAGCAGCUGGGGACUGUUCGGAUAGCACUGUCAGUGAAUGGCACUGCUUUCCUGCACUUGCAUUCAAUCUGAGUUCGAGCAUUCAGAUAAUCAUCUAUGACAUCUGAGAUACAGGAGCAGUGCCCAGCAGGUGGGCCAGUACCUGCUUAAAUCUAGCCCAAGUCACUGGAAAGGACAUCUGUCUCUGCUCUCAGAUCUGAUGCUUCAGUGGCCCCACUGCAGCUGAGCAGUAAGAACUCUGCCGUGCAUUUAUGAACUGAUAUUUUUAAGAAACUCUUACUGUGAGAUGUAUUUUGAAUAAGUUUUAACUCAUUCAAAAAUGGCCAAAAAAAAAAAAAAUCCUGCUGUCAGAUGUGCCAAAUCAUUGCAACACAUGGAGGUACUAGAGCUUCUCAACAAAAAACAGUUGCAGAAAUAUUUUUAAGAUUCCUAAAAGAGCAACAUUUUCUCUUAGCCUUUGUUCAGCAAAAUCAUUUUAUCUGAAGCUUUUCACUCUGGGUCAUGUGCUGCUUUGGGAAAGGAAAGUCUGAAAAUGUUACAGGCACCUGAAAUUUCUGAAGAAUUCUUUUCUGAAGAAAAAAUCUGGGGCACCUGUGCCUAUGUUAUCUUCUAGUCUAAAAAAAACCUUGUCUCUCCUUUCUUCUUCUCUUGCAUCCAACCCCAGACAGUCAUGUUUCUAAGUAGACACUGGGGCUAGCAUACAAUACUAUAAGCAUAUCAAAAUGACUAAUAUGAAAGGGCUGAGCAAAAGGCCUUUAAAAAUAAACCAAAGAUAAAUCAUUAUUUAAGAAUUACUGUUUUGUUUGCUUGUCAUUAGACAUCUGUUCAUAGACACUGCAAAUGUUCCACUGUUUGUCUGGGUUUAAUCGUAACAACUUCGCAGAGGUGCCUUCUUCUUCCUCAUUGUUUUCACUUGGUUUCUAAGGCAAACAAUACCUAUUUUUUUUUCCAGGCCUUUUAAUUAUUUAAAGUUGCUAAAAUGCUAGAACUCAAUAAUUGCAUAGGAUGGAAAUUUAAAUCCAAACCUCAGAAUGUACCAAGUGUGUACAGUACCAGACCUUGUCUUGACCCCUGCCGCUGGUAGCCCCAGGACCUCCCUGCAGUGACUAGGUAUAAUUCAGGUCAGAACUUGACCCAAAAUAUGUAAAGCUAGCCCUCCCCUUCCUCCCUUCUCCCAGUCAGCUGCUCCCAUUUCCAGACCACAAAUAGUGUACUGAAUCCAAAUUGUUUACUUUGCUGGGAAUGCCAUCUGUGUGUUGGCAGCUGGGGUGGGAGGGAAGGCACACACACUGAACAACAGCGAUAAAUACAGACAGUGGACUAAAUUAGGAGUUCUGCUGCUUUCCAGUGCUCUGCAUCCUUGCGUGCUUCCAUUAAGUGGAUACAGUUCUUCUUAAACAGAUACUGAACAUCCAGAUUAUUCAGCAAGAGAUCAAAUUCAGAACAUUUGAAGAGAUAUAGAAAUAAGCCAAUCUGGGUAAAUACUAAGACUACUGAAAAGGUUUAUGUCAUUUAUGGCUAAAUUCACUUAACAUCUUACAGUACACUGGAACCAGCAAGGGGAAAUAAAAACAACAGUAAAUACUAUCAAAAUGAGUACGUUGUAAGUCAUCCAAAAUGAAAAAUCAGAGAAGAUCUGGUGAGAAAGUUUCUCAUAGACCAAAGAUAAAGUCAAUAACCACUUAAUUGGCAACUGAUUCUGAAUUCUGAAGAGGAAUUGCUGGCAUAACAUCUAAAUUUCCCAUUUAAAAGGUCUUACAUUUGAACAAUUCACUAUAUUACAGAAAGGAUAAUUCAGUAGUUAAAAGCUCAUCUUAAAGUAUAUGUGUAUACAAAGUAUAUCUGUAAAUGUGAUGGCAGGGGAAAAUUUAAAGAUUAAAAUUUUGCUCAUAUUUCUUCACUAACAGCUUGACAACAGCAACAUGUCUACACAGAAUCCUAGAAUGCCUGAGGUGGGAAAGGACCCUUGAAAAUAGUCAAGUCAUACUACUCUGCUCAAAGUAGGGUCCAUGAGGGUUGCUCAGCACCAUGCCCAGCUGGGUUUUGAAUACCUCCAAAGACACAGAAGCCACAGCCACUCUGUUGUCUUACUCUUGGAAUUGUCUAAAAUACAUGAAACUUAAGAACAAUCAAUAACAAGAAGUGAGCUCAGUCCUUCAGCAAAUCUACAGCUGCAGUCCUGAAGAAAUUAAAUGACAAAGAAAUGGUUUAACACCCCUUAAUUUAUGAAAGUUGGAUUUACGUCACUAACUUGAUUUACCUUAGCUUACUUUGUGUAAUGCAAAAAUGACAGCUCUUUUGUGUAAGGUUUACCCAUCCUGAAGAGAGUACAUGGAGGCAAGAAGUUAACUUUCAUCAGUUUGAUAGAGAGGUCCUCAUGUUACCAGGGGGGCUGGCUGGUGGACACUCCCCCAAGUCCUCAUUACUGGUGGCGGCUGGCUGAUAGAAUGUCUACACUGGGAUUACCUCCAACAGGUUCUGGUGGUGACUCGCUGACAAGAAUUCCACACAACCCACUGGUAGCAUGGCCAUACAUAUAAAUGCAGGAGACAAUAAAGUAUGGUGUAUUAGGAUAAGCAAAGUCAUGGGCAGAAAGCAAGGAUACUUAGUUACUACAGAGAAGUAUUUCUCAAGGGAGUUUCUUCUAGCUGCAUCCAGAAUCUAGAGGCAGUUCACUUGUGUUCCCAAGCCAGCAAGAGCUCUUUCUCAUGGGCUAGUCGCCUGUUCAGGCCGUAUUCAUCUGUAUUUUUCCACAAACUUGGCUACUCUUAUUUAGAAUUGACUGGAAACAGGUUUCCUACUUCAGUUUUCCAACAGCAAGACAUAAAGAAUAAGGAAGGACACGUCCUAUUGGUAAGCAUUUUAACAAUUUGGCUGACAUUGGUCCACUAGAAAAGGCUAUGUAAUCAAAAAUGUACAAUCGCAUUCACAUCAGCUAUAAUAGGCUUGUCACUGUAUCUGCUCUUUGGAUUUCCUAAAAUGUGCUGCACUAAUGUUUGACUGUAAUGUAAGGUAAGAUUUUCUCUGCUGUGACAAUGCAUAGGCUUGAAGAUCUUAUAUUUUCAUGUAAGAGUUAAAUCUUUCAAAACUGAUACCCCAGAUCCAGAGGUAUUAGGAAAGUGAGGAAGAAAUGUCUUGGUUCAGAAAUGGGUUCCUAAUGCCUAUAGAGAUAGCUGAUAGUUGUUCACAAAUGAUCAAAUCAUAAAUGUUGGUUAGUUUAAAAACUCUCUAAAGUGUUAGAGUAAUUUUUUAGUAUUUUUAUUUGAAAUACAGGCCACAAAUAGAUUUCCGUAUAUUUUAGAGGCUGAGACUAUCCCAAAUAUACGAUAUAUGGGAGAUACUCUAAAGUGAUUCACCUAAAUACCGUGGGCCAAGUUUCUGGUCUUAAUGGAGAACUUCUCUUUGUUCUCUGCAGCUUACCUUGGUAAUUUCUUCCAAUUUUAUUAAUAUCUUCUUAGAAUUAUUCCUUAAGGAAGAACCUUGAACUGCAGAUCACCUGCAAUGAACAAAAUUCUUUACCAGCCACAGUGAGAUUCACAAAACAGCAAAAACAGCACAGAACAGCAUAAGCAGAUUAUUCUGAUACAUUAGAAAUAUUGAAUUUCAUUGCUUUGUAUAUAUUUUAACAGAAAAUUUUAAAGUCCUGAGUUAGCACCUGAAUUCCAUUUGAAUAACUUUGCCUCAAAAACCUCAUGUUAUUACCUUGAGACUUAAGACCACCAUCACCACUGAAAUUUUUGAAUUAUUCAGAAAAAUUGAUUGGGUUUUGGUCUGUUUAAAGUCACUGAAGAAAAUGGGAAAGAAAAACAGGUACUUAUACAAAUUCUACAAUCACCUCAAUUUUGUAAUUCCAAAUUUGCAGCACAAGAUCUACAUGACAAAGCAGGAACACUACCUUAAAGCCUUGUUUUCUUGUUUUCCCUGUUCCUUGUUUUCUUUGGCACAAAAGCUUUGUUCAUCAGUAGUCAUACACUUUCAUAUGUACUGGUGUUUGUAGACUUUUAAAAAAUAAGUACUAUUCCUCAGUUUUCUUGUUAAAUAAAUAUUUUCCCAUUCUAAAAUGAAGCAAGGAUUGAAUUGGCUAGCUAGUUUAAGAAGUGAGCAGAUUUGGUAACAAAGCAAGUCACUGAAAUGGCCACAGAGAUUUUCAUGGUGGUCUUAAUGGACUUUGAACAUCUCUCCUGGAAGAACCCCUUUUUCAUGGUCCAGUUUCUGUCUCAGUCAUCAAAAGUUACUUCUAAUUAAAAUACUGUAUCUAGUGGUUUACCAGGAGAAUAAAACAGAAAAUUCCAAUUUUUGUUCCGAAGAACAAAUGUGUGUUUGACAUUUUUGGAGUAACAUUAUAGCACUGCUUCUUAUGUAAGUUUUCCUCCUUCACACAAUUUUCUCUUCUGAAGGAAAAUGAAGCAUUUGUUUUUUGUUGUAAAAAGAGAUUCUUGAAAGAGUUAACAAAAAACAAAAGCUUUUCUUGCAAUUUGAAAGAUCUUGGUGACAUGUCAUUUUUCCAGAAAAAAAGUCUGCAAUAGCUCAGGAUUUCCAUGAGUAGUCUGGAUUUCGUGGGAGGAAAGAUGAUGGCAGGAAGUAACUGAGUACAUCUACAGCUGAUUGUCUCAACCUUCCUGGCUCUGAACUAUGUGUGCUAAGUGCUGCCCUAUGUGCAUUUUCAUACAAAGCAGUUUCUUGAAUUAAUAGAAUACAGCAGAAAGGGAUUUGAACUUCCACUCAUCCUGCUACCACUGAUGUGCACCGUAAUUGCCAGGCACAGACAACACAGUCUACUUGUCUCUAUUUUCUUCCUUCGUGAGUCAGAGAGAAUACAAUGAGCGAGCAGUAGUUAGAAUUGGUCAGAUUAGUAAAUGAAUAAGCUAUUUAGUGUAAUGAAUAAAGCAUUAUUCAAAGUCUGCUUUUUAAAUACCCUUUUCCUCAGCUCAGUGAGCCUUGAAAAAAGGCAUAUCAGAAACUAGACAUUACUAGACAUUACUUCCAAGCUGAAUUUACCCCUUUACAAGGGGUCACCGUUUACAGAAAAAGCAGAUCAAUACAUUGAAAAAGGUAACAGUAUGAAUGACUGCAAGAAAAGUAGAGAAACAAAAUCUGUGGUUCACAUGUGUUGCUCUGUUGUGCUCAUGGGUGAGCAUUCACAUGAGCAGAGAUGCCUUUAUUUUGCCCACUAAAAUUCUCCUUAUGUUUUCUUUCCAGCAAGUGGAGAAACUCCUCCAGACGUAGUCGCUGCAGAAGCCUGGGGUCAGUGCACAGCUCGCUGCCUGCGGGAACCACCUUCUUUACAGGCUUCUGAAAAAUAAGCACAUUGCUCAGCCAUGUUAGGUCUUUCAUGUUGCGUGCUCCACACUAAAGAAAUAAGCUAGCAUUGUGAAAGAGACUGCCUGGUGACCGUCCCACCAUCUCUGUUGCUCACAGGAAACCACUACUGCUGCACUUGGGACAACACUGAUUCUUCUGUGUCUGAAGUUGUGGCUUCAAAUUGCAGUAAAGCUGAUAAAAUAACCAGCUGCUGUGAAAAGAAGUGUCCUCAUACUUCCCCUCUUGCAUGUAAUCUCCCUUGUGCUAGCUGUGGUCUGUGCCUGGUCCCAUGGUAAACUGGUGCAGGGAGAUGGCCAGCAACAUGCCACCCUCCUCAAAGAAGUAGUUCUCAGUGUGGAGUUGUCUUAGUCAAGUUUGUCAUUAAACAGCAGCAAGCACAAGAAACUACUGAGCAUUUUUUUCACAUGUGCAGGAAAAGAUUGAGGUUGUUUUAUUAUUUUACAAACCAAAAGAUCCAAAAUACCCCGUAUGGUAUUUUAUUACAUUAUCUCUUAUUCCUUGGAACCUAUCAUAGAAGGCCUCAUAUUAAAUAAAUAAAUAAAUAAAUAAAUAAAUAAAUAAAUAAAUAAAGGGAAUAUAGCAAACAAACCAAACCAGUAGGCUAGGAGCUGGAAAACAAAACCAUCUAAAUAUAAAUAAAUUGUGGACACCUUGUAACACAAAAUUCCUACGCAUUGUCAUCUGUUGAUUAUUACAGUUUCAUUUAGUUUGGAGUUUGCUUUAUUUUCAUGCAACUUUUGUCUAUCCAAAUAAUUACAGUUGUAUUGCUGUAUUAGUUUGAAUCUAGUCAUUGAGACAAAUAGAAGAGCCCAUCUCUGUCAUUCUGGCCAAUAUUACAUUCUAUUACAUAAGAAAUGGGAAUUAAACAUAAGAUAUGGGAAUUAAAUCAAUUUUAAUGCACCAUUGUAAUAAGAAGACAAGUGUAGUUCUAGAUUGCAAUUAUGGAGAUAAUUACAAUUUCAUUGGUAUUGCUUAGGUUUAAGAAUGCAAAGUUUACCUUGGGUGAACAUUUCAUUAUCUAGGAUGAAUCCAAGCUAUUUUUCUUCUAAAUCAUAUCUUGGCUUAUUUCCUAACUUUGACUGUUUAAUAGAAACAUAGAGAAUUUUACAGGUAGACUAUAUCAAAACAGGCUAGCUGGUUCAACUCCAAAUUACUGUACAGUGAUUUGAGAAAAAACAUUAAUUUUGAAGGAGCUCUGGAGGCUGAGUAUAAAGAUUAUUAAACAUAAGUUUUAUAUAUGCAGAAAAAUUGCUUUUGCAUGAAUUCACUUUUAAAAUGUUAAUAUAUGCAUAAGAAAAUUGUGUUUCUUAAUCUCUGAAGAAACACUUAUCACUAGGAACCACUUAAUUCUUUUCCUGCGCUUGAUUUAUUAGCUUAUGAAAUUAUGCUAAUAGUUUGCAUGCUAAUGGUUUUGGGGCUCAAAUGACCUGAUUUUAAUAAUGAAGUAAUUUAUGCAGUAAAUGCAGUCAUCAUCUAUGAAUCUUACUUAAAAGAACAUAUCAGUGAUUACUUAUGCUAAAACCAAAUGCCUGUCAAUACGGCACACAGUAUUUGUCAUGACAGGGAAAUGGGAUAUGCUCAGCCCAGUACACCCUUUAGGAUGGUUGGGUCCCACACUGCUGAGCUACACCAAGGCCUGCAACGACAACUCUCAUAACAGUUUAUGAAACUCAUUGUCAGCCAACUUCCUUGCAUGAACACCUUGGAGGGAAAAAGACAAUGGCAGGAAAUGGAUGGAACCAGGAAUGAAGUCUAACCUGGAACCAGUAAGUUCUCCUCUGUGAGUAGGAGAUCUCAGUGGCACAGACACCAUACACCUUGGCGGAGGAGAUUGUGGGAAGAAAGUUUGUCUUUGGGUGAGAAGAUUUAAUCUUUACAAGAAAAGGAGCACUUUUAUUAAGGCCAUGAGCUGCAUGACAUCUUAGAGGUGCAACCCCUUGCAACAUCUGGGAAGCCUGUGUGUAACAGAUCCUUCACAAAGAUGCUUUCCUAAAACAUCUGUAUAGAUCUGCUCACUGCAAAACUGUAUUUGAAUCUGUCCCCCACAUAAUUUACUGUCCUGUUCCCUAACGUGAGGAGAAAUUCAUGACUUCAUUCUGAAAAGAAUACAGCCAUGGUUUCUUUGCAGUAAUGUAAGCUUGUGUUUUGAUAACCCGCUGAACAUCAAUAUUCACUUUGGUAUAAAAAAAUAAAAAAUAUAUUCUUAGCUGCCAAAGAUAAUCUAACAGUUCAAACACCCAGACAGAAGCUGGGAGAGGUCAGACUGGAUGUUAUCCAAAAUGUAUAAAGUCAAUAGAAGAACUGGAUCAUCCCCUCCCCAUAGAAGCUCCAAUGCCUGAAGGCCAGAAGUCCCCCUGUCUUCCAAAGACCGAUGUUGAGCAAUUGUAUUUUGGUUGGUCCAGCCACUUCCUCCACAGAAUACAGAGACCUCCCUGCAUGCUGAGACUAGGGCCUAGGUGAAGCUCACUAAGGAGAUCUUGUGCAAAGGCCCUGAAGGCCACUCUGCUGCCUACACACAGCUCCAGAG